UACGGGGGGGGCAAGCGUUGUUCGGAAUUACUGGGCGUAAAGGGCUCGUAGGCGGCCAACUAAGUCAGACGUGAAAUCCCUCGGCUUAACCGGGGAACUGCGUCUGAUACUGGAUGGCUCGAGUUUGGGAGAGGGAUGCGGAAUUCCAGGUGUAGCGGUGAAAUGCGUAGAUAUCAGUCGGAACACCGGUGGCGAAGGCGGCUUUUUGGGCCGUUCCUGACGCUGAGGCGCGAAAGCCAGGGGAGCGAACGGG
rnacentral:rRNA from 1 species